rnacentral:rRNA from 1 species
GACGAACGCUGGCGGCGUGCUUAACACAUGCAAGUCGAACGGAAAGGCCCUGCUUGCAGGGUGCUCGAGUGGCGAACGGGUGAGUAACACGUGGGUGAUCUGCCCCUUACUUUGGGAUAAGCCUGGGAAACUGGGUCUAAUACUGGAUAGGACCAUGCUGUAGGUGGUGUGGUGGAAAGAUUAGUUUCGGUAAGGGAUGAGCUCGCGGCCUAUCAGCUUGUUGGUGGGGUAAUGGCCUACCAAGGCGUCGACGGGUAGCCGGCCUGAGAGGGUGGACGGCCACAUUGGGACUGAGAUACGGCCCAGACUCCUACGGGAGGCAGCAGUGGGGAAUAUUGCACAAUGCGCGCAAGCCUGAUGCAGCGACGCCGCGUGGGGGAUGACGGCCUUCGGGUUGUAAACUCCUUUCAGCCAUGACGAAGCCCUUGUGGUGACGGUAGUGGUAGAAGAAGCACCGGCUAACUACGUG